UCGAGGAUCUUCGGCAAUGGGCGCAAGCCUGACCGAGCGACGCCGCGUGCGCGAUGAAGGCCUUCGGGUUGUAAAGCGCUGUCGAGGGGGAGAAAGCUCCGCAAGGAGUUGAUCGACCCCUGGAGGAAGCACGGGCUAAGUUCGUGCCAGCAGCCGCGGUAAGACGAACCGUGCGAACGUUGUUCGGAUUCACUGGGCUUAAAGGGCGCGUAGGCGGGCCAUCAAGUCAGGGGUGAAAUCUUUCAGCUCAACUGGAAAAGUGCCUUUGAUACUGAUGGCCUCGAGGGAGGUAGGGGCGUGCGGAACUUCCGGUGGAGCGGUGAAAUGCGUAGAUAUCGGAAGGAACGCCGGUGGCGAAAGCGGCGCGCUGGACCUCUUCUGACGCUGAGGCGCGAAAGCCAGGGGAGCAAACGGGAUUAGAUACCCCCGUAGUCC
rnacentral:rRNA from 1 species